rnacentral:snoRNA from 1 species
UGGAUCGAUGAUGACUACUGGUGGCGUAUGAGUCAUAUCCGAUGAAUACGUGUCUAAUUCUGAGGUCCUU